GUAAGGUACUUAAGUUAGAUGAUCUGCUAGUUUCUGGAAUCACCAGUGCAGAGAGGUGUGUUGGUUGCAUGUGAGAUUGUGUCCUAGUUCUCAGUGGGUCUGGGGCAGAAUGAAGGGUGUUCUAUAUGGAUUCUCUAAACCAGGAUCUGAAUGCCUGUGCCUUUCCAUACUGUCUAAUAUUCAGUAUCUUUCCCUGAAGUGGAGUUUCAACAGGGAAAGACCAAGUGGCUGACUAUGGUUUUGUUUUUGUAUUAUGAGCAUGUUGUAAUUUUGAGUCUCCUCCCCUUCCCCCCCCCCCCCCAAAAACAAACAAAAUAAAAAAAAAAUUGAUGAGAUCUUAACUCUAUAAGCCCAGGUUCAGGCAGCUUCAUGUUACUGAAACUCUUAGGCUAUUGAAUGAUUUUAUUUCUCUGAGGUGCUGGGCUCUUGUCUUUAUGGUGUAAAACUUGCGUAGACUGUAGGUGAGAAAAGGCUAGCAGACCCCUUGGUUCAUCCCUUGCUGCUACUCUUCCAUGGGAGUUGGGGUCUGAGAGAGCACCCCUCUCUGAGAGGAGGAGAUGGCCUGGCUGCAGUGCUGUCUGUACGUGGAAAGGCUGGGACCCGGUGUCCUCAAGCAGGCUCCACAGGUGGCCCAGUAGUCCAGGGAGAAAAAGCUGCCAAACUACUACAUUUCCCUUCCCUGCUGCUGCUUUUCCAGGGCAGCCUCUUCCUCUUGCUUAUUGGACCUCAGUUCUCGGCUCCAGUCCCUACCCCCUAAAAUUCAUCUCCUUCUGCAGCCUCUGGCUUCCUUCAUCUCACUCCCUCGACCCUGAAGUGAGGUGCUGAUGCUGCUAGUGGCGAAGAGGAAGGCUGAGAGAGGUGCAGAGCAAAGAGGAGCCAGCUCUCGAGCCUGCCGCUUGCGCUCUGCCCCCGAAGCACAGAGAUAUGAACAGGAGAGCCUUCCCCUACUCUUCACUGUCUAUUAGGAGUCUCUGGAAUCAGUAAAUGCAAACUGGACUGUACCUAGCUGGCCUGAAACACCCCAUCUUGCUAACAGGCAUUGAUUAUAUUGGGGAAUGCACAGUGAGUUCUGCUAACUCACAGAGCUAUUCACAGAAAACCCAGUGGCAGCAGCGAAACUGCCCAGAGUGGCAUUAAUUUCACACUGCUGCUACUCUGCAAAGCUAUGGCCAGCAGUGAAGGGACCAAAGCUUUCUGCAGACUCAGGAAAACGCCUGCAUCGGUUCACAUUUGGAAGGUUAUCUUUGCAACCGUCAAGAACUAGAAACUUAUUUUUUUUCCAUUACAGAAAAACAAUAUU